UCAGAAAUACCAAAAAGAAAGAAAGUGAGAGGGACUAAUAAGAAAAAUCUAUUUCUUCCAUCUGCCAGGGAAAUAGUCCAGGUGCUACAACUGCCUGACCGGCUGUCAAGGGCAAUGUAGCUGCCUGGGGACAUACGU